GACGAACGCUGGCGGCGUGCCUAAUACAUGCAAGUAGAACGCUGAAGGAGGAGCUUGCUUCUCUGGAUGAGUUGCGAACGGGUGAGUAACGCGUAGGUAACCUGCCUGGUAGCGGGGGAUAACUAUUGGAAACGAUAGCUAAUACCGCAUAAUAGCAGUUAUUGCAUGAUAACUGUUUGAAAGGUGCAAUUGCACCACUACCAGAUGGACCUGCGUUGUAUUAGCUAGUUGGUGGGGUAACGGCUCACCAAGGCGACGAUACAUAGCCGACCUGAGAGGGUGAGAGGCGACACUGGGACUGAGACAAGGCACAGAAUACUACGGGAGGCAGCAGUAGGGAAUCUUCGGCAAUUGACGGAAGUCUGAGCGAGCAAAGAAGAGUGAGUGAAGAAGGUGUUCGGAUCGUAAAGCUCUGUUGUAAGAGAAGAACGAGUGUGAGAGUGGAAAGUUCACAAUGUGGCGGUAUCUUACCAGAAAGGGACGGCUAACUACGUG
rnacentral:rRNA from 1 species